rnacentral:rRNA from 1 species
UGAGUCCAAAUGAAGUAGGCGGAAUGGAGUCAUGUAGCGGUGAAAUGCAUAGAUAUGACUCAGAACACCGAUUGCGAAGGCAGCUUACUAACAUGUAACUGACGCUGAGGGACGAAAGCGUGGGGAGCGAACAGGAUUAGAUACCCUGGUAGUCCACGCCGUAAACGAUCAUCACUCGCUGUUGGCGAUAUACUGUCAGCGGCCAAGCGAAGGUAUUAAGUGAUGCACCUGGGGAGUACGCCGGCAACGGUGAAACUCAAAGGAAUUGACGGGGGCCCGCACAAGCGGUGGAGCAUGUGGUUUAAUUCGAUGAUACGCGAGGAACCUUACCAAGACUUAAAUGUAUUUUGCUAAAUUGAGAAAUCAAUUGUUCUUCGGACAAUUUACAAGGUGCUGCAUGGUUGUCGUCAGCUCGUGCCGUGAGGUGUCGGGUUAAGUCCCAUAACGAGCGCAACCCCUAUUUUUUAGUUACCAGCGAAUAAUGUCGGGGACUCUAGAAAGACUGCCUGUGUAAACAGUGAGGAAGGUGGGGAUGAUGUCAAAUCAUCACGGCCCUUAUGUCUUGGGCUACACACGUGCUACAAUGGUUACUACAGUAGGAUGCCAUCUGGUGACAGAGAGCUAAUCUAUAAAGGUAAUCUUAGUUCGGAUCGGAGUCUGCAACUCGACUCUGUGAAGUUGGAAUCGCUAGUAAUCGUAUAUCAGCAAUGAUACGGUGAAUACGUUCCCGGGCCUUGUACACACCGCCCGUCAAGCCAUGGAAGUUUGUAGUGCCUGAAGUCAGUAACCGAAAGGAUCUGCCUAGGGUAAGAUAGAUAACCAGGGCUAGUCGUAACAAGGUAUCCG